rnacentral:rRNA from 1 species
GACGAACGCUGGCGGCGUGCUUAACACAUGCAAGUCGAACGGAAAGGCCUGCUUUUGUGGGGUGCUCGAGUGGCGAACGGGUGAGUAACACGUGAGUAACCUGCCCUUGACUUUGGGAUAACUUCAGGAAACUGGGGCUAAUACCGGAUAGGAGCUCCUGCUGCAUGGUGGGGGUUGGAAAGUUUCGGCGGUUGGGGAUGGACUCGCGGCCUAUCAGCUUGUUGGUGGGGUAGUGGCUUACCAAGGCUUUGACGGGUAGCCGGCCUGAGAGGGUGACCAGCCACAUUGGGACUGAGAUACGGCCCAGACUCCUACGGGAGGCAGCAGUGGGGAAUAUUGCACAAUGGGCGGAAGCCUGAUGCAGCAACGCCGCGUGCGGGAUGACGGCCUUCGGGUUGUAAACCGCUUUCGCCUGUGACGAAGCGUGAGUGACGGUAAUGGGUAAAGAAGCACCGGCUAACUACGUG